rnacentral:rRNA from 1 species
AGCGCAGGCGGGUUGGCAAGUCAUUGGUGAAAUCCUGAGGCUUAACCUCAGGACUGCCAAUGAUACUGCCAAUCUUGAGUGCAGAAGAGGAAGAUGGAAUUCCUGGUGUAGCGGUGAAAUGCGUAGAUAUCAGGAAGAACACCGGUGGCGAAGGCGGUCUUCUGGUCUGUAACUGACGCUCAUGCUCGAAAGCGUGGGAGCAAACAGGAUUAGAUACCCUGGUAGUCCACGCCCUAAACGAUGGAUACUCGAUGUCGGGUCGCAAGGCCCGGUGUCCAAGCUAACGCGUUAAGUAUCCCACCUGGGGAUACGAUCGCAAGGUUGAA